GUAGUAGACCACUGCGUCUACGCUGACUGUUACGGAAUCCUUGGUAAGGAUUUCUUGAGGCGGCACGUCAAAGGAUACCGUGCGGAGAUCGACCAGAACGCAGUUAUCCACGCAGGGACUGUACAGUGGGAAUAUGUCAAAAGGGAUGCCACAACAAUUACAACUGUCACUGUAAUGCUCGGGGUCGAUAGACUCGCUUCGAACGAAUUUUGUGCCAGGAAAGCACCGGAAGUUAAUCAUUGGACAGAAAACUUUAACACGGUAUCUCAAGUAUGCCAGAAGUUCCUGGCAAUUAUCCUGUCCGCUUCUAUCUAACAGGAUAAUUAUUUCGCAAAGAGCCAUUUCCCUUUUGGUAUAAUGCAAGAGAGCGAUGUAAUAAUACCGAGAAUGGGUCUCAGUGUGAUUGUUUUGUGCCUCUGUGAAAUUACAGACGGGGAUUUUACUUAAAGGAAAUGGUAAACGUCUAUGGACAGCACACCUGGUCCUUGCGGUUCUCCACGUAGACGUCCCAUCCUGAAGACGACAGCCCUCUCGUACUCUUGCACGACUUUGAAAGCGAAGCAUAAGGAAAACGGCAGAGUGAUCAGUAGAAGAAGAAAUGAUCCCAGAAUAGCCAGGACUUCGAUGAACCUUGUCAUGGCGUCGAUUUGACUUCCGUCCCCGACGGAGCUCCUGCUCCUCGGGCUGGAUCUCUCCUCUGUCCUCAUAAGCUCACGAGCGGUUACCUCCUGGAUAUAUCCAGGUACAAAUAUAACAGCUACUCGCCGCAAACCCGCUACGUAUUAAGCAUCCAGUGCUACAGCAUCCGCACCCUGAAGCAUCCUUUACACAGACCACGUGUAAUCACCCGUGAAGAACCAUGAAAGCCAGACACCAGAGCCGAACAGCGCAUCAGAGCACAGCGGACCAUCUCCAUCGACGUGGCCACUAGGUCCGCCAAUAUACUAAUAGAAACGAGCAGCCAAUGAACCGACUGGCCGCCUUUAUAAUCGGCGUCCGUUUCCUUAGCUGUACUCCCACGCAAUAAGAAUUGACGUUCCAUUACACAGCGUGGAUACAGACCGGGUCAUUCAGCUGAAACGCAUCAUCUGAAGUUGAAUCGUCCAUUCGAUUCUCACAGUGAAACCACGUUCGCCUGGUACGUUUGGACUGAAUAACCGGAUACAUACGUAGAAUGAGUAACGUAUGGUAGACAAAAAGUGUGCAGCAAACCCAAUGGCCAACCGAAUGCAAUUUCCCUUUGGUUAACGCGAUAACGCUCCGCUUUAAGGGCUACUCUAUCACCCUGUAACUUUUCAAUGGCUACCUGCUACAUCGUUCAUCAUUUUAUUUUGCCGUACAGCGUGUACAUAUUUUUUUUUCCAUACAGUACCCUCGCUUGUUUUACAUUGCUAGAGUUAUGUAAUUAUGCACAUGAUAAUUUGCAUACACUCUUGAUAAUUAUACUAAAACGCCUACCCUAUUUCUUGGUACUAUUUCUGCCAGGUGCCAUUUUAUCAUUCUAUCAUUUUUCCCAUUAUUUUCUAAUAUUACACACGAGACUCUACCCGAUGCACUUUGCAGCCCUACGUAUUUUUAUGAUAGAUUCUUCAUUUACGUAUUAUGACUUUAAUGUAAUUUUAAUAUUGUAUUAGGACUGUAAUUUGAAGGGGGCGGUGGGAGGGGAAGUAGUCGGUAUUACUUUUAGAUAAUAAUUCAUCCAUGAAUGUCAGUCUCCAGUUUCUUUAAAUUAACAGGAAGACAAAGAUUUUCUUCUGCCA